CUCCAUGGCUGAAGACACCAGACACCAGUUUCCACCUACCCAGGAAUAGUGCCUACCAGGAAAGCUGCCAUCUUACCUCUUUCUUCCACUUCAGAUGCCUGGGGAGUGGACAGAAGCAGCAGUGAUAAACAGUUUCACUUUGGAUUCCUCUAUUUCCCUCUGGACCAUUGGACACGCCAAGCCUAUGAACACUUCCCAGCAGCAGAUAUCAAAACAGCUACGUCUUAUUGCAGGAAGCAACCUGAACUCAGCUGGGAUCCUCGGCUACACCCAGAAGGUGGCAAACUCAAGUCCUGACUGGAUUGCAGGAUUUAACUCACUGUUAAAAUGGAGCAGCCACUCACUUCAAAUGCUUCGAGGACAAGCUCAAUUCAGCUGUCAUUGGAACCAUUUACACUGUUGCACAUUGUGAAUUAAUAUGAAUUCCGGACGUUGAUCUGGUCCCAAACUUGUUCUGUUUUUAUCCUUAAAUGCUAUCUGCACACACUGCCAAAAUUGUUUUGUACACCUCAAUGAAGAUUCUUUCUCCUACUCUACUGAACAGAGAAGUGACCACCACACUCAGAAUAUAUUACUUUAAUUGAUAUUUCUAAUGGCAAUGUAUUAAUCUUUUCCAAACUCUGAAAUACAACAGUUCAGAAUCAG